rnacentral:lncRNA from 1 species
AUUAUAAAUUUUGAUUACAUCUGUUAUUUGUGACACAAUGUUAGAACUACCCAUAUCCCUUCCUCAAUUCAUAAAUAGAAGGAUAUUAUACUUCAGCGUACUCAAACUCACAUCCUCCUGUAUUGGCAACAAUGUUUAUACCAACCCAGCUAAUAUUUAAUGUCGUCCAAGAUUCUAAUAUAAAUAGGUUAUUUAAUUAAAUAUCACUUUAAUCAAUGUAUAUUAUCACAAAGCAAGUGAAAAAAAGCAGCACUUUUCAGCUGUCAACAUCCACCAUUAGUGCUUCUUUUUUCAAAAGUAAUUACAUCCUUUUUUGUGUGUGUGAAAUUGUUAAAACACAUGCUUGCAAUUGUACAAGCCCAAUCUGAACCCUUCCCAAACCCAUUACAAGACAGCCCACUAGCCUAACCCAAUCGGCCCAAUAAGCCCAACCGGCCCCAAACCCAGUCAGACUAGGGCAGAAACCCUAGCCCCCUGUUGUGCCUCACCUGCCCUCUGUUCACAGCCGUCACCACCCACUCCACUGCGCCACCUGCUCCAAGUCAAUCACCUGCAAGGAGAGAAACAAACACGCAACAAGGGAAAAAAAGAAGCAGACAACACAAAACAAGAAAAGAUUAAAUCUUUUUCUUUCUUUUUGAUCUUUCGCUAUAAAAGCCGAACAUAAGGAGAAAAAUGGAGGGUUUUUUUUUUCGGGAACAGUGGGCUUUUCUUUCCCUUUUGAUAGCAUUUACAGAAAUAAAAAGCAAAAAGUUUAAAGGUGAUAAGCAGGGUUCUCUUUUAUUUUCGAUUUCUUCUUAUAUAUUUUUUUCUUUUUGUUUAUUUACUUAUAUAUAUAUAAUAUAAAGAGAAAAGUGUAAAAAAAAUAUAUAUACCUUUUGUGAAGUUUUCCGGCCACCGUGUACGGUGGCCGGCGCGACGCCGUCAAUGGCGGAAGAUCGCCGGAACCCAUGGCCGGAUUCUGGGCUGAGAAAGGGAAAGGGGAGAGAUUUUAAGAGAAGGAAAAUUUUUUAAAAAAAAGAGGGCUGAAAGU